AGAAUCAACGCUGGCGGCGUGCCUAACACAUGCAAGUCGAACGAGAAAGUGGAGCAAUCCAUGAGUAAAGUGGCGCACGGGUGAGUAACACGUGACUAACCUACCCUUGAGUGGGGGAUAACCUAGAGAAACCUGGGCUAAUACCGCAUAAUACCUUCGGGUCAAAGGAGCAAUUCGCUUAAGGAGGGGUCGCGGCCGAUUAGUUAGUUGGCGGGGUAAUGGCCCACCAAGACUGUGAUCGGUA
rnacentral:rRNA from 1 species